rnacentral:rRNA from 1 species
GGGGAGUACGGUCGCAAGACCGAAACUCAAAGGAAUUGACGGGGGCCUGCACAAGCGGUGGAGCAUGUGGUUUAAUUUGAUAAAAUGCGCAAAACUUUACCAGCCCUUGACAUAUGAACAACAAAACAUGUCCUUAACAGGAUGGUACUGACUUUCAUACAUGUGCUGCAUGGCUGUCGUCAGCUCAUGUCGUGAGAUGUUUGGUCAAGUCCUAUAACGAGCAAAACCCUCGUUUUGUGUUGCUGAGACAUGCGCCUAAGGAGAAAUUGCCACCGAGUGACAUGCCAGUGCUACUACUUGAUUGAGUGCCAGCACGUAGCUGUGCUUUCAGCAAGAAUUUCACCACUGGGAGCUGGUGCCUUUCGAAGCACUUUCACGUGUGAACCAAAGUCGUCUUGCCCAAGACUCACGGAGACCUACCUAUGGUGACGUCAAAGUACCAGUGAGCAUGGAGGUUUGGUUGAAAUUGGUUACGACGACGUCGAGUUGGCGGCGAAGGAAGACUCGGCAUGAAGGCCAGAAAAUGGUGUGGAACGUAGUGGUAAUAGUACGCGCCCCACUCUGAAACAAAGAAAAGGGUGCGUGCCGCAGUCAUGGGGGACUGCCAGUGAGAUACUGGAGGAAGGUGGGGAUGACGUCAAGUCCGCAUGGCCCUUAUGGGCUGGGCCACACACGUGCUACAAUGGCAAUGACAAUGGGAAGCAAGGCUGUAAGGUGGAGCAAAUCCGGAAAGAUUGCCUCAGUUCGGAUUGUUCUCUGCAACUCGGGAACAUGAAGUUGAAAUCGCUAGUAAUCGCGGAUCAGCAUGCCGCAGUGAAUAUGUACCCGGGCCCUGUACACACCGCCCGUCACACCCUAGGAAUUGGUUUCGCCCGAAGCAUCGGACCAAUGAUCACCCAUGACUUCUGUGUACCACUAGUGCCACAAAGGCCUUUGGUGGUCUUAUUGGCGCAUACCACGGUGGGGUCUUCGACUGGGGUGAAGUCGUAACAAGGUAGGUGUAGGGGAACCUGUGGCUG